rnacentral:rRNA from 1 species
UUGGCACCUCGAUGUCGGCUCAUCGCAUCCUGGGGCUGGAGCAGGUCCCAAGGGUUUGGCUGUUCGCCAAUUAAAGCGGUACGUGAGCUGGGUUUAAAACGUCGUGAGACAGUUUGGUCCUUAUCUGUUGCGGGCGUAGGAUAUUUGCAGGGAUUUGUCCCUAGUACGAGAGGACCGGGAUGAACGAACCGCUGGUGUUCCUGUUGUCUCGCCAGAGGCAUAGCAGGGUAGCUAAGUUCGGCAGGGAUAACCGCUGAAAGCAUCUAAGCGGGAAGCCUACCCUAAGAUAAGAUAUCCCGUGGUGUAAGCCACCUGAAGGCUCGUCGAAGACUACGACGUGGAUAGGCCAGGUGUGGAAGUGCAGUAAUGCAUGGAGCUAACUGGUACUAAUCAGCCGUGCGGCUUGGCCAU